GGGAAUAUAGCUCAGUGGCAUAGCACCUAUCUGGCAAAUGUGAGGUUCUGAGUUCAAAUCUCAGUACCA
rnacentral:tRNA from 1 species